CUUUCUCUCGAACGACCACCCCGCCCCUGCCCUCGCGCGACCCGCUCCCCCCUCCCCUCGCGCGACCCCAUCUAACCUAGCCGCCAGCGCCCGCCCGCCGUCGAUCCCCUCGCGCUACCCCGCCGCCGGGCCCCUCCUUCUUCAACCCCCGGUCGUCGUGUUGAAGGUGUACGUCGCCGCCGCCCCGCCCGUACGCCUGGCCGGUCCUCGACUCGUCGCCGCCCCGCCCCUGCUCCUGGCCGUCCUCAACUCGCCACCGCCACCGUGCUGAAGGCUACCAAACACAGUCUCAGCUCAGCAUGCAUCAGUACAUACAUUGCUACCAAACAGCUGCAGUUGCAUGUAUUUAGCAUGUCUAGACUAAGCAUGUCUCAAAGGGGAACACCUAUGCUAGGGUGGGAAUAGCUACCAAACACACCCUUAGCAGCUGGUUAAGCACUGGGACCGUCCAUGCUUUCAAACCAGAAAAACCGGUCGAACCGUCCGGUUUUGGUCAAACCAAACCGGUGAACCGGGUGGUUUGCAGCGAACCGGUCGGUUUCAUUGCCGAUGCCAAAAAUUGAGAGGAAAGGCUAAAAAAAAAUACUGAUUUCCCCUCCCGCACGUUCCUGCCCCGCCUCCAAUUCGCCUCCCCCGCCCUCAGCUCGAUCCCCUUCCUGCCGCCACCCCCCGCCGGCCACAGCCCCGUGCCGCUGGCCGUUCCCGCCGGCCACACCGCGCCUCCGCUGCAGCGAGUCCGCACCGCCGCCGGUCAAGGCUCGAAUCCAGGCUCUCAGGGGCCAGCGUCGUUCGUCCCCAAGCUGUCCAGGGAGGCCGCUCAAGUACAAGGCUCUCCAUUGGACGCCGCCGCUCGGCCGCUGUGCGCUUGAGUCAGGACCCCCAAGGUUCCCCGUCGCCGCUGCUGUUCGGCUCUCGCCUCCCGCGACUUUGCCACCAUCCCUAUUGCAUCGGCCACUCGCGAGCAGCGGCUGUUCCCAUCUCUACGGGCGCCUCGCCAACCACGUGGGUGCUCGGAGAUGGGUCGCCGGCUUCUUCUCCCCCACACGAGGAGGCUUAUGUUGUUCCUGCGGCCGAUGCGCUACUCCGCCUCCGCCACCGCCACCGCCACCGCUGGUUCUUCGCGCGACCCGCUCCACGUGUGCGUCGUCGGCAGCGGCCCCGCCGGGUUCUACACGGCCGAAAAGAUGCUAAAGGGUCAUGAAGGAGUGCGAGUCGAUAUUAUUGACAGGUUGCCGACACCGUUUGGCUUAGUUCGUUCUGGAGUGGCUCCAGAUCAUCCAGAAACAAAGAUUGUGGUAAACCAAUUUUCUCGUGUAGCUGCGAAUCCCCGCUGCUCUUUUUUUGGGAAUGUAACACUUGGAAGUGAUUUAUCUCUAUCAGAGCUUCGAAAGACAUACGAUGUUGUUGUUCUUGCUUAUGGUGCAGAAAGUGAUAGAUCAUUUGGUAUUCCUGGGGAGGACCUCAGAGGAAUACAUUCUGCUCGAGAGUUUGUAUGGUGGUAUAAUGGGCACCCAGACAUGUGCAACUUGGCACCUGACUUGACAAACACAGAUUCUGCUGUGGUCCUUGGACAGGGAAAUGUUGCGCUUGAUGUUGCCCGUAUUCUUCUUCGCUGUACAACCGAGUUGGCUUCCACAGAUAUUGCUGAUUAUGCUUUGGAUGCUCUCCGUAGCAGCACAAUAAGGAAGGUUUACUUGGUUGGGCGACGAGGCCCAGUACAGGCAGCUUGCACAGCAAAGGAAUUACGUGAAAUUUUGGGUAAUUACAAAAUGUGUUUGAAAAAUGUGAAUGUUUACAUCAAGGAGGCUGAUCUUGCGACAUCGCCUGCGGAUAAGGAGGAGAUGAGGAAUAGUAGAAUAAAAAGACGGGUGUAUGAGCUGCUAUCGAAAGCUGCUACCGUGCAUCAGGAAAACAACGAUAAUGACCAAAAGGAGCUUCAUUUUGUGUUUUUUAGGAAACCUACCAAAUUUCUCCCUUCAGAAGAUGGUUCCACGGUUGGUGCUAUGGAACUUGAAAAGACUCUCUUAAAAGAUGAUGGAGCAACUGGAAAGCAGGUGGCAGUUGGAACUGGUGAGUUUGAAGAACUAAAAUGUGGAAUUGUUUUGAAGAGUAUUGGUUACAAAUCCUUGCCAAUAGAAGGUUUGUCCUUCGACAAAUACAGAGGAGUUGUCCCAAAUUUGAGGGGCAGAGUUCUGUCCAGUGAAUCAGAGACUGCCACGGUGGAGCCAGGACUGUACGUGGUAGGAUGGUUGAAGAGAGGACCAACUGGGAUUGUUGCUACAAAUCUCCAUUGUGCCGAAGAAACGCACACAAAUCGGCAUGUUUUUGGCUUAUGGUUUGUGUGAAGCUUCGUGCUUCAUCCCCGUAAUAUGUACAUCAUGGAAUUUGGCCAGAAUGUUGAAAACAUUAAAAUGUGAUUUUAUUUCACACCCAACUCAGAAAAAACUUAUUCAGCAUCAAGGUGGAUAGCAUCCUUGAAGACGACAGGAAGGGCUUGUUCACGGACCCAUCUGGUCCGAAAAGGCAAGGCCGGCGGGGACUACUUGAGAUUCUGGAACAGAAGAAUGCCCGCUACGUGCCGUUUGAUGGCUGGGAGAAGAUCGACACCAAAGAGAAGGCGGACGGCGAGCUGAAGAACAAGCCUAGGGAGAAGAUCACCAGAUGGAAUGAGCUCCUGGAAGCCGCAAGGGAGGGUUGAUUGAAGGGCAUCGAACGGGGCUGCUGGUUCAGGCGUAAACCGAAUCAAAGAAACAGACUGCGAGGCACAAUCUGAAUACUGAAAGAACAGCCAAUCACGUACAUACCGAUGAGCCAAUGAAAGUCAAGUGCUAAUAAUGCAGUCUUAGCAGUGAAUCACUCGUACGCAUACACAGUACUGCCAAUCCUGGUUAAAAUCCCCAAAAGGCUCGACCACUGCAGCCACAUGAAACGAUUGUAGUCCUGAGGAGUAGAACUGCUAUAUGAACUUUGCCACUUCAUCUAAUCAUGGGCAUUUCUUUUGA